rnacentral:rRNA from 1 species
CCAACAGGGAUUGCCUCAGUAACGGCGAGUGAAGCGGCAACAGCUCAAAUUUGAAAUCUGGCCGCAAGGUCCGAGUUGUAAUUUGUAGAGGAUGCUUUUGGCGAGGUGACUUCCGAGUUCCCUGGAACGGGACGCCAUAGAGGGUGAGAGCCCCGUACGGUCGUGCCACCGAGCCUCUGUAAAGCUCCUUCGACGAGUCGAGUAGUUUGGGAAUGCUGCUCUAAAUGGGAGGUGUACGUCUUCUAAAGCUAAAUACCGGCCAGAGACCGAUAGCGCACAAGUAGAGUGAUCGAAAGAUGAAAAGCACUUUGAAAAGAGGGUUAAAAAGUACGUGAAAUUGUUGAAAGGGAAGCAUUCAUGACCAGACUUGGGCUUGGUUGAACAUCCGGCGUUCUCGCCGGUGCACUCUGCCAGCUCAGGCCAGCAUCAGUUUGCCCCGGGGGACAAAGGCGGCGGGAAUGUGGCUCCCUACGGGGAGUGUUAUAGCCCGUCGUGUAAUGCCCUGGGGUGGACUGAGGUUCGCGCUUCGGCACGGAUGCUGGCGUAAUGGUCAUCAAUGACCCGUCUUGAAACACGGACCAAGGAGUCGUCUUCGUAUGCGAGUGUUCGGGUGUCAAACCCCUACGCGUAAUGAAAGUGAACGUAGGUGAGAGCUUCGGCGCAUCACCGACCGAUCCUGAUGUUCUCGGAUGGAUUUGAGUAAGAGCAUACGGGGCCGGACCCGAAAGAAGGUGAACUAUGCCUGUAUAGGGUGAAGCCAGAGGAAACUCUGGUGGAGGCUCGCAGCGGUUCUGACGUGCAAAUCGAUCGUCAAAUAUGGGCAUGGGGGCGAAAG